CUGACUGACCGAUAGUGAACCAGUACCGUGAGGGAAAGGCGAAAAGAACCCCGGCGAGGGGAGUGAAAAAGAACCUGAAACCGUGUACGUACAAGCAGUGGGAGCACGCUUAGGCGUGUGACUGCGUACCUUUUGUAUAAUGGGUCAGCGACUUAUAUUCUGUAGCAAGGUUAACCGAAUAGGGGAGCCGAAGGGAAACCGAGUCUUAACUGGGCGUUAAGUUGCAGGGUAUAGACCCGAAACCCGGUGAUCUAGCCAUGGGCAGGUUGAAGGUUGGGUAACACUAACUGGAGGACCGAACCGACUAAUGUUGAAAAAUUAGCGGAUGACUUGUGGCUGGGGGUGAAAGGCCAAUCAAACCGGGAGAUAGCUGGUUCUCCCCGAAAGCUAUUUAGGUAGCGCCUCGUGAAUUCAUCUCCGGGGGUAGAGCACUGUUUCGGCAAGGGGGUCAUCCCGACUUACCAACCCGAUGCAAACUGCGAAUACCGGAGAAUGUUAUCACGGGAGACACACGGCGGGUGCUAACGUCCGUCGUGAAGAGGGAAACAACCCAGACCGCCAGCUAAGGUCCCAAAGUCAUGGUUAAGUGGGAAACGAUGUGGGAAGGCCCAGACAGCCAGGAUGUUGGCUUAGAAGCAGCCAUCAUUUAAAGAAAGCGUAAUAGCUCACUGGUCGAGUCGGCCUGCGCGGAAGAUGUAACGGGGCUAAACCAUGCACCGAAGCUGCGGCAGCGACGCUGAUGCGUUGUUGGGUAGGGGAGCGUUCUGUAAGCCUGCGAAGGUGUGCUGUGAGGCAUGCUG
rnacentral:rRNA from 1 species